GCUAGCGGCAGGCCUAACACAUGCAAGUCGAACGGUAACAUGAGAGCUUGCUCUUGAUGACGAGUGGCGCACGGGUGCGUAACGCGUAUGCAACCUACCCUAUACAGGGGGAUAGCCCGGAGAAAUUCGGAUUAAUACCCCAUAAUAUUUUUGUAACACAUGUUAUAAUAAUUAAAGCUUCGGCGGUAUAGGAUGGGCAUGCGUCCCAUUAGUUAGUUGGUGAGGUAACGGCUCACCAAGACUUCGAUGGGUAGGGGUUCUGAGAGGAUUAUCCCCCACACUGGUACUGAGACACGGACCAGACUCCUACGGGAGGCAGCAGUGAGGAAUAUUGGGCAAUGGACGAGAGUCUGACCCAGCCAUGCCGCGUGCAGGAUGACGGCCCUAUGGGUUGUAAACUGCUUUUAUACAGGAAUAAACCUAUCUACGUGUAGAUAGCUGAAUGUACUGUACGAAUAAGGAUCGGCUAACUCCGUGCCAGCAGCCGCGGUAAUACGGAGGAUCCAAGCGUUAUCCGGAUUCAUU
rnacentral:rRNA from 1 species